UACAGAGGGGGCAAGCGUUGUUCGGAUUUACUGGGCGUAAAGGGCGCGUAGGCGGUCAGCACAAGUCAGUUGUGAAAUCUCCGGGCUUAACUCGGAAAGGUCAACUGAUACUGUGCGACUAGAGUGCAGAAGGGGCAACUGGAAUUCUCGGUGUAGCGGUGAAAUGCGUAGAUAUCUGGAGGAACACCGGUGGCGAAAGCGGCUCACUGGACCGUCACUGACGCUGAGGUGCGAAAGCUAGGGUAGCAAACGGG
rnacentral:rRNA from 1 species